rnacentral:lncRNA from 1 species
AAUCAUUUUGUUUUGCCCCUACUGGGCCGUUUAGUUAGAUGUAAUUAUAAACACAAUGUAGUUAGAGAUGUAUACAGUUGGAAAUACAACAAUUGCAACUAUAUGUGUCAUGUUUGGUUGGAUGUAGUAGAAAGCGCUGCAACUAUAAAUAAUUUGUUUGGUCGCAUGCAGUUGAGAAAUAAUUUUUAAAAGUUUAUAUACAUAUAGUGAGAUUACUUCUAAUGUAAAAAGAAAAAUAUUUUUUAUUUAAAAAAAAUUAAGAAGGUAAAUAUAUUUUUUAUUUUAGAAUUACUCUCUCCGAUUGUUGCAGUUGAAACUGCGGUCUAUUUAGGCGAAGUUUGAAUUGCUGAAGGUGGGCAUCUUAUAAUUUUUACUGCAUCAAUUGGAGUUAAAUACGUCAAAUCAAAUAUUGAAUUUGUAUUUGUAUGCAGUUAUAACUAAAAUACAGUUGUAACUACAUUCAACCAAAUGGCUCCUAAAUAGAGGUUAGUUUAAAAAUAAG